CGCGGCUGCCGCGGGGUUGCUAACAACAGCAGGUGAGAGCUAGCGGUUGGAAGAUGCGGACCAUGGGAGACAGACAGCAACACAUGCAAUGGUAGAAGUCUGGGAGGGAAAGAGUGACAGAUGCAAUGGUGUAAUAGAUUUAGGAAGAAAAUAAAUUAAAAUAAUGAGAAAUGAGAGAACGGAAACCAUUUUUUAAGGUUUCUUUUUUUCUUGUUUUUAUUUUUGAAAUGCUUUUGAGAAAAGUGUAAAAAUGAAAACAUAUCAGGUUCACCGUGAGCAUGUUAUUUAUUUAUUUAUUUUUUAGUGUAUGGGUGCUACGAGUAAGAAAGUAGGAGCAUUUUAGUUUUAAAGAUAUGCUAAUAGAUUCUGAAAAUGGAACCCUCUGAACUUCACCAAUUACAAAUUAUCUUCAUAAAAUUGAGAGAGCGAUGAUUUGAAAGAAGGUAAUAAUAGCCGAAAAUUUAGACCCCAAAUGGUCUGGCAAAUCGAAAUUUGACGUCAUCAUCUAUGCUUAAUCAAUUGCAGUGAAAUUAACUUGAACACUUAGGUUUAUAUUUUAUUGCAGUACCCUCAGAAUUGGCCACCAUCAAUUCAUGAAUUGGGGAUUGUUG
rnacentral:misc_RNA from 1 species